UUGAGCCAUAUGCGGGGAAACUCGCACGUGCGGUUCUUAGGGGGGGGGAGAGCUAGUAGGAGUCAUCCCAUCCCAAU
rfam:Nicotiana sylvestris Nsyl_contig31537, whole genome shotgun sequence.